CUAUCAAUCAUAUUUUGGCAAAAGCUAUAGCCUUCCUAACACGGCCUGCAAAUGUCGUAAAAUGCGCUGAAGACCAAGCUUCCGCUUGUCACAUUCAAUAUCAUCUGCAUCUUUCUCGAACUAGGAAGCGUUAAAACUUAUAACAAUUAGACAUAAUUAUUUGGAACAACUACUUGAAACACUUCAAAACAUGUCUUAGGUCUUUCUUCAUCUUAUCUGGUCAUCAGCGAGUCGUGUAGCCUCCAUUUGCUGGGACGCGCAAAAUGUCAACAACAAAGCUCCUUGUCAUCCAAUAUAUCGACUUACAGAAGAUGAUUUGUCCGGUAAUCCAUUUAUCUUUACAAAGGAACUCCACUAAUGGUGCAAUAUCUUUAAUAUCUGUGAGCCGUCCUGUGAGCGCCUGGCUCUUAUGGUAAGCAACGGCGUCUUCAGUCUCUUGCCCGUAGAAAAAGGGAGUGUCCAUGGGCCCCGGGGCCACACAGUUGACCCUAAUAUUCUUAGGCUGAAGCCUAUAAUUUAAAAAUUCUGAUUUAGUGAACCACUCUACAGGAGCUUUACUGCCUUGAUAUGUUGAAUAAUCAGGCGCAAAUGCUCCAAGGAGUGAAGUCACGAGUGAUAUGAUCGUGCCCUCCUCGUUGAGACUCCUGGCCGCAUGCUUAAUAAAAAAGAAGGCACACUUUGAGUUGACGAGGAACAUGUUAUCGAAUUCCUGCUCUGUUGUUUCAACGAUAGGCUUUUUGAGCACCUUACCGACCGUAUUGAUGGCGAUAUCGAACUUUGACACUCCAAGAGCAGCUGCUGCGUCUGAGAAGAGUCUAUCAGAAGUGAUAUCAGCAGCUGCUCAAACAAUUAAUGGAAUAUGAGACAAAAAUCACUUCUCAAUUGAUGCCUCGGUGGUAAGAUCGGCCUGGAAAGCAGCGGCUUUGACCCCGUAAGAUUCGAGUGCCUUCAAUGUAGCUUCUGUCUCGGACUUGGAACUGUUCAUUUAUCAAUAACCAUACCUGGCCGGCCAAUAAACAACCUACCUGGGGGAGUUGUAAUGAAUAGCAAUGUUGACUCCCUGCUUGGCGAGAGUCUUCGCAAUCUGCGAGCAAAGCAGGGGUUUAGUCUUGGUCACUCGCAGUAUAAGCAAUUACUGCUGGGGCUUACCAAAGCACCAAGAUUCUUACCACCACCAGCGAUGACUACAAUCUUGGUUCAGCAUCUGCAAGUGAUAAUACCACUAGGAUAAAGAACGCCUUAUUUACCGGCAGCUUGGCCUCGGAGAUCAGUCGAUGACAUUCUUGUAUUUCUGCUGAAGGUUCUCUUGUGUGUGGUCUAUUGAUCUCUGUUCUAGAAUGAUGACAAGUUUAUCUUGCUGGAGGCGGGAGGCGCAUGCAUGCUAGCAGUCUUUUUCACGCAG
rnacentral:sRNA from 1 species